rnacentral:tRNA from 1 species
GCGAGGGUGGCGAAAUUGGUAGACGCGCACGGUUCAGGUCCGUGUGUCCUCGGACAUGGGGGUUCGAGUCCCUCCCCUCGCA